UGCUAUUGCCAAGUAAAAUGAUACAAAUAAAUUCUUAAAUUGUCUAGUAUUUUGUGCUGUCUUUAUUGAUUCCGGGAGUGAAUUCCAGAUUUUAGGCCCUUGAAAACUUAAUGAUCUGAUACUAUUAUUGGUAGUUCUGGCUUUCAGAAUGUCAAGGGUGUUUUUGAGUCGAAGGUUGUGGACCUGUCCUGUUGUUUUGGGUAGAAAAUAGUCUUUCAUGAAAACAGGAUUAAGGUUGUUAAGUGUUUUAUAAACUUCCUAUGUUUUGCGCAGCUAAAAUUACUUGAGAGACUUAAACCCCGUUUACACUGUCCCGGGACAAUUUGGUACCGUUUAGCCGUUCCGUUUACACUGUACCAGUACAACCUUAAUUUAAUAGUAGAACAUUGUUUAGAAGAAGCUGUAUUUAGUAAACCAUGGCUUUUAUUUUGCCGCCGAAGUCAACAAUCGAAACUUUAUUGAGAGCUAAAAUGGAGAGGAAGGCCGAUAAAAACUUUACUUGGACGAACGACGAGGUGGCUUUAAUUUUCAGUGUUAUUUCAGACUACAAAGCUGCAAAGUCCAAUCAAGGCUUGGACUGGGAAACAAUACAAGCCUUUUCUGUGGUCGUCUUUUCUUCAGAAUUUCCUUUUCUUCAGAAUUUUACAACGUAGUUACGCCACAAUCAAAGCCUCGAUUACCCGAAACAGCCAUACAAAAAACCUCCUUGUGAAUCCGUGACAAAAUCAUCUCGGAUAGGUGUUUACACUGGAACCGUAACGGUACAAAAUUCGUUCGCUUUCAAAGCAGGGUCAAAACUGUUCCGGAUAGCAGAGCAAAAUCGUCACGGUUCCACAGUGCUAGUGUAAACGGAAGGGUGAACCGCGACAGUUUUGUCACGGUUCCAAACUUGCACGGGACAGUGUAAACGGGGUCUUAAGGUUAGGCACUUAGUUACAUCUCUUCUCUACUAAUACGAAUAUGCUCGCAUGCAGAUGAGCCCAAAUAAUGGACCCACAGUCAACCCCAUUGACCGCCCUCCCCUGCCCCAAAAGAAGGGCGGUUUUUUUAACCGGAAGGUCUCAAAUCGAAGCUAAAAGAUUGAUCAGCUUCAAUUGGGGUAGUACGUUUUUUUGGUGCCUUGGAACGUGACUGGAAAACUUUCUGCUGAUUCUUACAGUUUGAAGAUUCCCUGGAUUUCACAAUGGAAUAAAGGGUUCGCGAUUCCAUGAGCCAAUCGUGAAACAGAUCGAACUCGCGGGACCCGAAAGAUUCCUUCUCUCUCUACAAAUGUUUUCAAAUGCAACGAUGACUUUUCAAAUGCGUUUCGCUUUCAACAAAGAAUCAAUUGUCCGAUGAUCGAUUUGGAUUUGGAUUAAUCUCCGUGCACUACUGCCUGGCUCUCCAUUUCGAACUCGAAGCGGUCGUGAACAGUCGUAUCGUGCUAUGGUCGGUCGUGGGUGCUCUUAACCUUAGCUACAUAGACAUGCUGCUGUGCUGCCCAUUUUACCGUUUCGCGAUUGCUGCUGGUUGUUCCCGUUCUUCUGGCAUCAGAAUCGAUGACAUGCAAGCACAAAUGAACGAUCGGAUUCGCUGACGUCUUGGUACAACAAAUAAAUCAUCUCAAGCAAUAAUUAUGACGCAGACGUGAUUCUCGAACCUUCGAAACGAAAUUUAUUGCAUUUAUGCUGGUGUGAAAUUGAACAAUGAAACAAGAAAAAAACUUGACUGUGGAGAAAAGGACUAAAGUUAUAGAUUAGCUGUUGUCCGUAGAUUGUAUUUUGUUAAUUUGUUGUUGGAAGAAGAUUCCUUACUUAUGCACGAAACUUUGGCUGUUUUCUGUAUUUCAAUUUCCUGGGUGCUUUCUUACUGCAGUGUUUGUUUCAAAGGGUAGCUGUGUCGAAGAUAUGAUACGUAGGCCUCGAUUGAAAAGAACUCCGUAAAGUUUUUAAUUAAUUGGAGUUUCAAUCGCGAAUGGUUAACUUUUUGAUGAAUUAACUUACUUUUAGGGAUUUUUAUGUCUAAAAGUUUUCCAGAUGAUGUCUAAACGAACACCACGGACAUAAUACGGCUAACAGAAAUUUAUUAGAAAAUUUUAUCUUUUGAUUCAGAAUAAACGGGGGAACUUUGAGGAAGCCCACAAUUAUGUUUAAACCAGCAUCACGAGUCAACGAGGACUGAAGGAAGUUCUAUAGUUCACGUUAGAUUCAUAUUAAACAUGAGAGUUAUAAGGAAGGCCCUAAAAAUAUUACAACGCGACCCAUUAGUCAACGAGGACCAAAUCUGUAUGGUUAGAAAACUUUAACAUUUGAAUCUAAAUAAAUAGAAGAACUCCUGGGAGUAACCUCCUGAAAAUGUGUCAAAGAGGUAAACGAUUCGGUGGGGGCAAAUAGAAAUAUAUUGCUGUGAAGCUUUAAAGAAGAGUUCAGAAUAGCUUUUAGAUUAGCCCGCAGAAUAUUGAAAUGAGCCCCACGAGUCAUCGAGGAAUAAAUGAAAUAAUUUGAUGGAAAAUUUAAGCACUGAAAUUAAAAUAAACAGGAGACUUAGGAGGUAAACCAUUAAAAUAUUUAAACGUGGACCAAGAAUAGACCGGGCCUUGCAAAAUGUUUCUAGCAACUUUCAACCUUGCUUCGAUCUUACAAACGUAAUGUAUCAAAUUGAUAUGCACAUUUCAAUGAACGAAAGACUAGCACUCAACCUUCAAUAGAGAAAUACAAUUAGAAUACAGAUGGCUA